CUACGGGAUGCAGCAGUCGAGAAUCUUCCACAAUGAGCGAAAGCCUGAUGGAGCGACGCCGCGUGAAUGAAGACGCCCCUCGGGGUGUAAAAUUCUUUUAUUAGGGACGAAACAAUGACGGUACCUAAUGAAUAAGGGGCUGCUAACUUCGUGCCAGCAGCAGCGGUAAUACGAAGGCCCCAAGCGUUAUCCGGAUUUAUUGGGCGUAAAGGGUCCGUAGGUGGUUUAGCGCAUCUCCUGUCAAAUCUAUCGGCUCAACCGGUAGACUGCGGGAGAGAUGGCUAGACUAGAGGCCGGAAGAGGCAAGCGGAAUUGUCGGUGUAGGGGUUAAAUCCGUUAAUAUCGACAGGAACACCAAAUGCGAAGGCAGCUUGCUAGGACGUGCCUGACACUAAGGGACGAAAGCGUGGGGAGCGAAUGGGAUUAGAUACCCGUGUAGUC
rnacentral:rRNA from 1 species